rnacentral:tmRNA from 1 species
GGGCUAGUACUGGUUUCGACGGGGGUUUUGAAGUCAGGGAAGCCAUCCGCGGCCCGGACCGCGUAUAAACCGGAACUUAAAAUUAAACGCUAACAAUACAGAGUUAGUAGCGGCGUAAGCUGCUUGUCGACCCAUUUGCACCCACACAGGUGGUCAUCGGCAUCAUGAAUUGUGGGAAACGAUGCCGGUUAAGCUUUGCCCCGGCAGGCGUAUUAUGAAGCUACUGAAGACGGAAGGGUGCUGUUCCCCGGUCGUCUGAGGGAAUGUAAAAGAGCGGCUGUGAUGGGAGAUGCCUUGAGGGAUAGGCUUUCGGACGCGGGUUCGAUUCCCGCCUGGUCCAUGA